rnacentral:lncRNA from 1 species
AAUUUCAGCCCCAAAUUUUCUGGGAUUUGUCCCCAAAUCCCCCAGGAUUUCACCCCCAAAUUUCCAGGGUUUGUCCCCAAAACUGCUGAGAUUUCAUUCCCAAAUUUCCAGGGUUUUUCCCCAAAACUGUGGGGAUUUAAUUCCCAAAUCUCUGAGGUUUUCCCCCAAAACCCCAGGAUUUGUUCCCAAAACUGUGGGGAUUUAAUUCCCAAAUCUGUGGG